CGAAAGCCUGACGGAGCAAUACCGCGUGAGGGAGGAAGGCUCUUGGGUCGUAAACCUCUUUUGUCAGGGAAGAACACAAUGACGGUACCUGACGAAUCAGCAUCGGCUAACUCCGUGCCAGCAGCCGCGGUAAUACGGAGGAUGCAAGCGUUAUCCGGAAUUAUUGGGCGUAAAGCGUCCGCAGGUGGCUUGUCAAGUCUGCUGUCAAAGACUGGGGCUUAACUCCGGGCAGGCAGUGGAAACUGACAGGCUAGAGUGCAGGAGGGGUAGAGGGAAUUCCCGGUGUAGCGGUGAAAUGCGUAGAUAUCGGGAAGAACAUCGGUGGCGAAGGCGCUCUACUGGACUGCAACUGACACUCAGGGACGAAAGCUAGGGGAGCG
rnacentral:rRNA from 1 species